rnacentral:lncRNA from 1 species
UUUUUUUUUUUUUUUUUUUUUUUUUGGUUUUUUGGUUUUUUGGUUUUUUGAGACAGGGUUUCCCUGUAUAGCCCUGGCUGUCCUGGAACUCACUCUGUAGACCAGGCUGCAGGCUGGCCUUGAACUCAGAAGUCCGCCUGCCUCUGCCUCCCAAGUGCUGGGAUUAAAGGGGUGUGCCACCACCCCCGACCCUAGAUCUUGCUUUUUGAACCUUGGUUUUCUCAAUCAUGCACGGUCCGGGUGCAUGCACGGUCCGGGUGCAUUACACGGAUGCGUAUCUGGAACCUGGAGAAGGUCAUUGCCAAGACUGAUUCCUAAGAGCUGGUUCUGUGACCCAGCCUAGGGCAUAGAAGUCACUCAGCAAAUGUUCUUAGUACUUAGAACUAGGAAAAGGAAUAUGUUGACCCCAGAAGCUGGACCUAGGGUGGUUGACAUCCUUGGGAUUUUCUUGGCUUGUUCAUACAGAUAUCGGAGCUUUCCCACCCUUCUUUUGCACCCUUCUUAUGUAUAAGUUACUUCCACUCUUCUCUCCCUUCUCUCUUCUCCCCACCCCCACCCCCUUUCUGAGAGCCAGAAUUAGGCACAUAUAACAUAAUACAGUGCUAGUUACCACACCUCCCAUUUCCAGCUUACCUGAUGACUGAGCUUACAGCAGCUCCUGAGAACAAAUCAGGUUUUAUGAGAUCUAUAAAUAUCUUGGAUAGGAAUUUUAUUUCAUUUUCCUCCUUCAAAUAAGACAUAAUGGAAGCACUCAUAUACACGAGGAAUAUUCUUCCUGUGAUAAAGUGGGGUGUUUGUGAAUAGGCCUCUGAAAAGCAAUCGUUUGAUAUGGUUGUUCAUGUUGGGAGUUUUCUCUUGGGGAGGGGGCUUAGCUGCACAUACACUGCUAUAAAACUUAAAGAUUAUAUCUUGGAAUUUAAGGUUUAAUUCAGAGCCUAUGAAGAGGUUUAUUUGACAGAUGCCAGCCUGGUGUAGACUGCACUCUUUCCUUUAGUAGAUUUUUGCAUCUCUUGUCUUUUUAGAGAUAGAGAAGCCAGCUAGGGGAGUCUGAUUGAAGAGUGAAUGGCAGUCUCCCUGAAGCAGAGGUUCUCAGCCUUCCUAAUGCUGUGACCCUUUAAUCAGGUUGUGCUGACCCACAACCAUAACAUUAUUUUUGCUACUUCAUACUUGUAAUUUUGCUACGGUUAUGAAUCCUAACAUAAGUAUCUGAUAUGCAGAAUAUCUAAUAUGUGACCAAAGGAGGUUUUGACUCACAGAUUAGGAACCUCUGCCCCGCAGAGUUCCUUGGCUAGUUGCUUCCCUUCCGUUUGACUCUAGGUUAAGGUGUUCUCAUCCCUCCUUCACUUCAUGGACUGUCCUGGGAAGAUGUCAAGCCACUGCACAGUGCUCGGGAUAGUGCUUUCCUCUGGAUUUAGACUUUCAAUACUUGUAAGCUUAGACAUUGUCUUAUUGUAUUAACCAAUACCUAGACAUGGAACAGCCUUUUCUAAAACCUUUUCCUUUGAAUAGUAUCUGGAAGGAACUAUGAGCUUAGACAUUAAAUCAUAUAGUUUACAGCAGACACACAGUGAAGUAGCUGCUGUGUGAGCCUAACUUUUCCUGUCUGUACAAUGGAAACCCCAGACUUCCUGUGUCAUAUCUUCAUAUCUUUUUUUUUUUUUUUUUUUGGUUUUUCGAGACAGGGUUUCUCUGUGUAGCCCUGGCUGUCCUGGAACUCACUCUGUAGAUCAGGCUGGCCUCGAACUCAGAAAUCUGCCUGCCUCUGCUUCCCAAAUUCUGGGAUCAAAGGCGUGCGCCACCACCGCCCGGCAUGUGUCAUAUCUUAUUCAGGGCUUUCUUUAGCAGUUUAGGUAUACAUUUAACAGGUUUUGUCGUUUGCUUUUGUUUUUGGCAUUUUGAGGAUUUUGUUUUUAGGGGGCAUUUUUUUUUUUUAAUUUCAUGUCAGAUUUGACCACUGAAGUUAUUUAUUUAUUUCUUUUUAGCACAAAUCCCUCCUCUUCUCACCCCCAUCCUCUGUAACUCAUUUAAGUAGAGUAUAAUUUAAUUCGUUCUUGAAACAGUGAGUCAUUUGAACAAGGUAUACAACAGAAGAGGAGUUUCCUCCUAAUGUUAUUUAAUUUUUCUGCUUAACUUUGCUUCCCUGUGCAAUGUAGUUCUAGCAUUUGGCUCUGCUAUGUACAGCGUUUCUUCUCGUGUUUCUCCUCCAAAGGCUUUUUCUCCUCUUCAGUCUGCUAAGGUUUACUAUGGAGAUAGAACUAGGAGCUAUGAUAUAAUCAGAUACAUAAACAGGAAACUGACUGACUUGAAGCUCUGUCUUAUUUGACUAGUAUUCAUAUUCCAAUUUUCUUUAUACUUUGGGUGUUUUUGGACAUACUCGUCAGGCUAACCCCAUCUCCCAUGUUCCUAUCCGGCUUCAUUUGCAAUCACAGCCCAGGAAGCCUGCAUGUGGGUUUGACCCCCAAGCACUCGAGGCACUGUCACCUCCUAACAGCUACUGUCUAGGGACAGUUUUGACUUCGCCAUCACUCAGGAUCCAUUUUAAUUUUCUUUUUAAUCUCUCCAUCUUGUUGAAUGUCUUUGUUUGGGACUGAUUCUAUUUUAUAAGGCAAUUUCCAAAUUGCAUCUCACUUUUUCCUGGUCAUCCGGGUUCUGUUGUAGAUCACGGAAAUGUGGGGUAGAAAAGACCAUCUGUCUCCCCCUCCCCCGCCUGUGCGGCCCAGUUGCUCCCAAGUGAGCGAGCGGUCAUUCUUCCUUGGUUUCUGCAACAUUUUCCAACUUGGAAAGAAAGUGACUUUGAGUUUCCUGAGCAUGCAGCCUCCUCCUUGUCUUGAGUGGGAGUAAAAUGGAAUUU